rnacentral:rRNA from 1 species
AUGGCGGGAAGGGAUCUGUUCGGCUUGCCCAAGAGCCAGCCGGCGCCGGCGCCAGCAGCUCCGGCAGCGCCGCCGUCCUCGGCAGCCAUGCAGAGCGUGCGCAUGGCGUACACCGCGGACGGCACACCCGUGUUUGCCCCGGUGAGCUCUGCGGUCGCGCCGCCGGGUUACCAACCGGCAGGGUCUGCAGCACCAGCGCAUGGCUCUAGCAUGUCCGCUGCUCGGGCCGCCGGAGGAAAUGGCGUCGCUGCGCCGCCGGGCAUGGGUGAACCGUCGGCGAAGAAGAAGCGCGGGCGGCCAAGGAAGUACGGGCCCGACGCGGCCAUGUCUCUGGCACUGGUGACUGUGCCGACGGCUGCAGGCUCGACAGGUGUGACACAGGGUGCUUCUGGGCGGCCGUUCUCACCCACGCUGCCGGGAAACUUCGUGCCGUCGGCGUCGCCGGAUGGAGGGAAGAAACGCGGCCGGCCCAAGGGAUCUACCAACAAGCCCCGCGUGGAUGGUGCCGGGCCGGCAGGAGUUGGAUUCACACCUCAUGUUCUUACAGUUCAAGCUGGGGAGGAUGUAUCGUCAAAGAUUAUGUCAUUUUCUCAGAAUGGAACUCGUGCAGUUUGUGUUCUCUCAGCAAAUGGUUCCAUAUCAAAUGUAACACUUCGUCAAACUGGUACAUCAGGUGGAACUGUAACAUAUGAGGGCCGAUUUGAGAUACUGUCACUCUCCGGGUCGAUCUUUGUAACGGACAACGGAGGCCAGCGUACCCGAACAGGGGGCCUCAGCGUUUCGUUGGCUGGUCCUGACGGUCGUCUCUUGGGUGGAGGGGUCGCAGGACUUCUCAUAGCAGCUUCUCCAAUCCAGAUAGUAGUGGGAAGCUUCAAUGCUGGUGGGAAAAAAGAGCCGAAGCCACAGGCUCCUCCUGAGCCCGUACCACUGAAGGUCGUUCCAAGCACUGGGAUGGCGGCCAACAGCCCCCCUUCAAGAGGCACAUUGAGCGAAUCGUCUGGUGGCACCGCAAGCCCAAGACAUCAAGGCUACGCCUCCAACAACAAUAACCAGCCGCCGAUCUUGUCCAGCAUGCCCUGGAAAUAA